rnacentral:misc_RNA from 1 species
UAACAAGGUCUCCGUUGGUGAACCAGCGGAGGGAUCAUUACCGAGUACUACACUCAUAACCCUUUGUGAACCAUUAUACCUGUUGCUUCGGCGGCGUCCCUCGCGGGCGCCCGCCGGUCUCAUCAGAAUCUCUGUUUUCGAACCCGACGAUACUUCUGAGUGUUCUUAGCGAACUGUCAAAACUUUUAACAACGGAUCUCUUGGCUCCAGCAUCGAUGAAGAACGCAGCGAAACGCGAUAUGUAAUGUGAAUUGCAGAAUUCAGUGAAUCAUCGAAUCUUUGAACGCACAUGGCGCCUUCCAGUAUCCUGGGAGGCAUGCCUGUCCGAGCGUCGUUUCAACCCUCGAGCCCUCGUGGCCCGGCGUUGGGGAUCUGCCACGGCAGGCCCCGAAAUACAGUGGCGGACCCGUUAGGCCCUUCCUUUGCGUAGUAGCAUUAGCCUCGCAUCGGGAGCCGGCGGGCUCUCCUGCCUCUAAACCCCCCAACAAGCCCGCUCCGGCGGCACCAAGGUUGACCUCGGAUCAGGUAGGAAUACCCGCUGAACUUAAGC